rnacentral:lncRNA from 1 species
GGGAGGCCAUGGAGGAGGCCAAGCAGGCGGCCAGGGCGGCAGCAUUGGAGCAGUGGGCGACAGCGGAGGCGGCCAAGCAGGCGUUCAGGCAGCGGCAGGCGGCGUUCCUGGAGGCGUUCAGGCAGCAGCAGGCGGCCAAGCAGGCGGCCAAGCGGCAGAGGCGUUGAAGAUGAGAAUUAGACAGGUGGGUGAGAGGAGGGUUUCGGCACGGCCGUCGGAUGGGCGAGAGCCUUUGACUUUCUACUGAGCCCAGUGUGUAUUUUACGACUGACACUAACUUAUUGAACGAGAGCGUGCAGCUGCAAAACCUACCAGCAGCUCCAAGAAAGGAGUCCCGAAAGCCCUUUGCGCGAGAAAUUGAUAUGCUUUCACCCUCUUAAUAACACGUCAACCAAGUUGCAGCACUAUGAGCUCU